GGCCGGUUAGCUCAGUUGGUUAGAGCGUGCUGCUAAUAAUGCCAAGGUCACAGGUUCGAUCCCCGUACAGGCCA
rnacentral:tRNA from 1 species